rnacentral:rRNA from 1 species
GACGAACGCUGGCGGCGUGCUUAACACAUGCAAGUCGAACGGAAAGGCCCUGCUUUUGUGGGGUGCUCGAGUGGCGAACGGGUGAGUAACACGUGAGUAACCUGCCCUUGACUUUGGGAUAACUUCAGGAAACUGGGGCUAAUACCGGAUAGGAGCUCCUGCUGCAUGGUGGGGGUUGGAAAGUUUCGGCGGUUGGGGAUGGACUCGCGGCUUAUCAGCUUGUUGGUGGGGUAGUGGCUUACCAAGGCUUUGACGGGUAGCCGGCCUGAGAGGGUGACCGGCCACAUUGGGACUGAGAUACGGCCCAGACGCCUACGGGAGGCAGCAGUGGGGAAUAUUGCCCAAUGGGCGGGAGCCUGAUGCAGCAACGCCGCGUGCGGGAUGACGGCCUUCGGGUUGUAAACCGCUUUCGCCUGUGACGAAGCGUGAGUGACGGUAAUGGGUAAAGAAGCACCGGCUAACUACGUG